rnacentral:lncRNA from 12 species
AUGCAAAUAAGGCCUUGAAUGUUCUUUGAUAUACAUUUUAAAAAAUACUAUGAUAUAAUAUUAAAAAUUAUAAAUAUUAUAAUAUAAAGUAUAUUAAUAUUUUAAUAUACAUUUUUAAAUAUAAAUUACAUCUCCUGCCAUAGAAAACUGGGGUCACAGCAAUUCAGGGGAGCACACACACACAUACACACACACACCAAAACCCACCCAAAUCUCGGAACGGCCAAGGGGAAAGCACACUCAACUAGCACCUUUGGGCAGGGAUGCGGAAUUGUGAUAAUGGAAACCCUAUCUCCAAGAAAACUGUUAAGGUGACUUUGGGGAGAAUCUAAGAAAGAGACCGAGAUUACACAUAAGCUAAUGUUCUAUUUGUCAGAUCGGAAUAUUCUCAGAAUGUUUACAUUUGCCGGGGAAAGCUACUUAUUGUUAGAGCUUGUAGUUCUGCUAUCGUGGAUAUGGAAACGUCCAGACAUGAAACUUUGAGGAAAGUGACCUUAGAUGAAAUUCAUUGCUUCAAAAAGAGAAAUUCUUGAGCAAUCGAUCCCAAGAUAGAUGUCGUCUGAGAUCAUCAAUUGGUUCAUUGAUCCAGACACACCAAGGCCUCAGGGGAAAAACCGAAGCGAGGGUGCAGCACCUCACUGCCUGAACAUCUCAAUAAACGAAGUUGGGCUCUUCAACGCGCCAUGCCCUUUGCCCAAGGGGGGCUGUGUCAGCGGUGACAUGGGUCAAGCAGGCCGUGUCGUCUGCUGCAGAAGCAGAGAAGUUCACUGUCCCUGCAGCAGCUCCCCCGUCCCCUGUAAGGCCUGCUGCCAAGUCCCCUGGGCCUCCUGCAUUUCCACGUAGGUCUCUCCUUGCUUCUGUGUGAUCUCAGCAGGGAUAAAUGAACCUAAGAUAUUAAAAUGUAAUUUGUUCAGAUCUUUGCCUUUAGGGUGAGCACUAAGAUGCUGCCAUCAGCCAGAAAAUUUGUGAUCUAAUUUGGAAGCAGUGAGCCAUGCUGUCUUCUCUCAGACCGUCAGAAAGCUGCGCUGAGUUCCCACUUUCCUCUGGUUUGGUAAAAAAAAUGCUUUCAAGCUA